rnacentral:lncRNA from 1 species
ACCAAAUAAAGACAGUUUUGUCCAAAAAUUCAAAACCACUUUAAAAAGAGGUAUUUGUAUUUUUAAAUGAAUCUGGACUUAUUUAGCAAAUGAAUCCUUAUGUUUUAACAAGCUUUAGUUUGCAAAUAGAGGUCCUGGAUUUGAUCUUCCAAUAUUGGAAAACUAAUUUCCAUAGCCACUAUUUUUCCUACAAAUCUUUUUAGUUUCAGCUCACAUAUCAAUAAAAUAAGAAAGGAGGAAAGUUGAUUUGCAGCAAGCUAGUAGUUUAAGUAUUUGCUCCAGUAAGUGUUCAAUAUAAAUUUAACAAAUAAAGGCACCAUGGCAGAGGGACAAGAACUCUAUAGGGUUGUUUCCCCUUAACUUGGCUCUUGCACAGAAUCUCCUUUUCAGAGACCUUACCCAUCCUCACGACAUGAGGGUUCAUCUUUGUGGAAAUAUGUCUAAAUACCUUAACCUGUUGGCCUGACUUCUCUCCUUCUAACAUCUAACUAGGUAUUUCUGCCUAAGUGUCCCAUUGUACCUUGAAAUUCAUACAUCAAAAACACUAGUUCACCUUCUCACCUUACCUCACAAAUUCUCUCUCAUGUGUCUCUUCCUUUUCUGUUAAUGGUACAAUUAAUUGUUUCAGAAACACAGGCUCCAAUCCUCAGAUUCUUAUUUGAGCUCCCCCUGUUCUUAACCCAUUCAAUAGUGCUGUUAAUUGCACUUCAAGUGUUUCAAAUCUGCCAUUUUCUUCUCACUCAUUAGCUUAAUAUAGGCCCAUCUCAUAUCAUACCUGAUUUCACUGGGUUCAGUUUCACAAACCUCCUCUUCAAUGCCAUUUUCUGAGCUGGUAUUAGUGUCUCUGAGCCUCAUUUUUCUUGUUUUAACCCAUUUUGCAUUUGUUUUAAUUCACUUUGCAUCUUGCUGCCCAAUUUCCUAUCUAAAGGAUUUUUUUUGGUUUGUCACUUAGCUGUUAAAAAAUAAUAAAUGCCUUCUGUUGUUUCCAAGUCCAAAUUCCUUAGACUAUUAUUUGAGGCUAUCCAUAAUCUGGCCCUCUUCGGUCCAUACAACCUUAUUUGUUACUACUUCCCUACAUGAAAGACUCUUAACCAGGCCAAUCUACUGAACCUUGCAGAUGCCAUCACCUUGCUCAUGCCAUCACCUUACCUGAAUGCCCUUUCCAGCUAUCCUCUACUGAAAUUUUACUUCUCCAUAGCAAAUAUUACUUUCCUUGUUAGUUUGUUAGCUUAUCAGCAUUUAUUCCAACUUUAAUGACAAUACAUUUUCUUUUCAUUGAAUUAUCUCUUCUUCUUUCUGUACUGUGCUCUGGGAUUGUUAUCAAGACUUUUCCCCCUCCCCUAUCCAGGAGGCCAGCAAUGCAACCCUACCAUGACCAACCAGACUCUUCCUUCUGGGAAGCAGAAUUUUGAACAGAAGGCCAACAGACUGGAAAUGCCACGGAAGCCCUAGUCUGGCAGGAAAGAAGAGUCAUUAGGCAUCAUCUGGCAACUUGGCUUGGAGAAGUCAGAUCAGUCACCAAGAGUCUGGUGGGGCUGCAGCAAUGGCUAGAAAGAACCAGUGACAUGAUUGCCAGAUAGAGUGGUCAGAGAAGACCUUUCUGAGGCCAUGGUAUUUAAGAUGAGACUUGAAGAGCAACAAGAAGCUAGACACACAAAGCAGAUAAUUUUUUAAUGGCCAUUUCUGGAGAGAAGUUUCCAAGGGAUGAAGUUAUUAUACAGUUUCCAAAUAUUCCUGAAGAGGUCUAAAGAAAAUGUAUUCUGAUUCCACCUUUUACCUGUUUUCCUUUUUUUUUUUCUCUCUCUCUCUUUUUGGAAUUUGUUAUUUGGAUAUAGGAUACACUAGGCUGGUGCUCCAAUUUUCUUAUAUUUUCUGUUUUCCUUGAAGUUUUAGGGGACUUUCUGAACUUUAUUUUUCAAAAUUCAGUUGAGUCUUUAUUGUUUUCCAAAUAUCAACAUUUCUUACCCAGACUAAUGAACUAGCCUACUCACUCAUCUUUCUGAUCCUAUUCCUCUAUAUUAUCCACCCCAAUCCCAAGUUAAUUCUUGUAUGGUCUUUUUGAAAGACUGCAUGAGGUUUUUUGUUUUUAUUUCUGCUUAAAUUAUUUGCUGAUUUAUUUGCACUUAGGAUACAGGCCUAAAUCCUUAGCUUUGCUGACAUCAUGAAAGAUGUGGGCCCUCCCUAGCACUCCAGUUUCAUCUUACAUCAUGCCACUCUUUGGUACUUUAUCCUUACUGUCCAGCUUCAUUUCCUAGAGUGUCCUGUGACCCUCUUGACUCAGAGCCUCUGCACGUGCUGUUCCCUGUGUUUGUCUCCUUUGUCCAGCUCUACCAACUUCCUUUAUCUCUCAGUGUUCAGGUGUCAUCUCAUCUCCAGCAUGAAUUAGAUGUCUUAUCUUGUGCUUCUCAUUGGGCUAUACUGUAAUGCUUAGCACAUUAGUCAGUUCCCUCAUUGCUAUAAAGAAAUACCUGAGGCUGGGUAAUUUAUAAAGAAAGGAGGUUUAAUUGGCUCACAGUUCUGCA